UGUUUUUGUAGCCUCAGAUAACUACAUAUUCUAAAUCAUUUCAUUCUAGGACUAUGCUGUAAAGGAGAAAAUUACAAGGAGGCCUGGAUCUGGGAAACUUAAAUCUACUAGUGAAUCAGAUGGGCCAUGCCGAUCCAUCUUAAGGCAGUCAGAGCUGCUAAAAUAAUGAAAUUAAAAAAAAAAGAUCUGUCUGCGUCAGUGCAUUAGUGCAGAUGAAGGUGGACAAACAUAUUUUUCCCAUGGAGGAGGUCCAAAAAGUGUACUUCACCAGCAAAUUCAAUGAUGUGGACAAGCUAGGAAAACAAGAGGUGUAAUUCAUUUCACAAUUCUCGCCCCACACACACACAAAGACAUAGGACACAUCCAAGCACCCAAUACUGC